CCCUACGGGGCGCACCAGGCACUUUGCCAUGACAUCCUCCGUUCUAGACUCCGUAUCUUCUGACUAUCUGAUGAUCGAAAUGGUGAACAAGCCUGAUCGAGCCGUCGAGUUGCGGUUCUUCGAUCGCUUUGCGAUGGGUGGUGGAGUAGACCGGGAUGAAACCGCGUUCCAUGGCGAAGGAGACCAGGAUGAAGCAAGCGCCGAAAUCGCCCUGUACGAGGACGUAGUCGCCGGGGAGAGCGCUGGAGGAGAGCCAGUCUUUGACCGGCUGGAGAUAGUCCGAUAAUUCGGGCGCUUGCGUGGGAAUAUCGACCCAAAGGGUGGAAAUGUCGGAGGGGGGGUAGACGAUGCGGCCCACUCGAAGGGAGCGGGCGGCGUCCUCUUCCUGGGCCCGCGUGAACUGAUGAUUGAAGAUGAGAAAUAAUGAAGGGUUCACUUUUGGAAUACCGUCUUUCUGAAUUGGCGGGAGAGC
rnacentral:rRNA from 1 species